rnacentral:rRNA from 1 species
GAUGAACGCUGGCGGCGUGCCUAAUACAUGCAAGUCGAGCGAACGGACGAGAAGCUUGCUUCUCUGAUGUUAGCGGCGGACGGGUGAGUAACACGUGGAUAACCUACCUAUAAGACUGGGAUAACUUCGGGAAACCGGAGCUAAUACCGGAUAAUAUUUUGAACCGCAUGGUUCAAAAGUGAAAGACGGUCUUGCUGUCACUUAUAGAUGGAUCCGCGCUGCAUUAGCUAGUUGGUAAGGUAACGGCUUACCAAGGCAACGAUGCAUAGCCGACCUGAGAGGGUGAUCGGCCACACUGGAACUGAGACACGGUCCAGACUCCUACGGGAGGCAGCAGUAGGGAAUCUUCCGCAAAGGGCGAAAGCCUGACGGAGCAACGCCGCGUGAGUGAUGAAGGUCUUCGGAUCGUAAAACUCUGUUAUUAGGGAAGAACAUAUGUGUAAGUAACUAUGCACAUCUUGACGGUACCUAAUCAGAAAGCCACGGCUAACUACGUG